CGUCUACAAAGGCCACGGAGCAGGUGAAAGCCCGCCCCUUCCGCUCUGGUUGUGAGUCUGAUUGGGCCGUUCUCACCGGCCCUCAGUGUCUGAAGGACAGUAAAUGACACCAACCCAUGGUUGAGAAUGGGCAAGAGCGCACUUUCUUGGAGGCAGCUACUUUUUUUCCCUUGUUGUAUUGAACCCAGAGACUGUGGCGGGACUUCCUUCACGUAAGGGAUCAUAGGCUGUCACCGAGAUAUUUGCUUUUAACCCGUAUAUAAGCUCGUAUCAAUUUACUAAUCAUAAAUAUGUGUUAUCCACAACUGAAGAGAAGAUAAUGAUAAUUUUAAAAUUUCACUUAUCUGGCUUCUUAGUCUUGUGAAGAGUUAGCUUAACAUUUUGAAGCCUGGAUCUCACUUCAGAGCAGCCACUUUCCAACUUGGAGAAGUAUGACUCCCCUGACCCCUGCCAGAGGUGAGGGAGCACACAUCAAUGUUCAUACUCGCAAGGAGAGCUACUUGACACCUGGCUGAAUUCCCUGAAGGACAAUGAGCGCGUGGAAGGGACCAUCUGGUGAGCUGCCUGUUUUCUUGGGUUCA